AAACUUUACAGUGCGGGAAACCGUGAUAAGGGGACACCGAGUGCCAGCGUCAUACGCUGGCUGUCCAGGUGUGUAAAAUACACCUGAUAGCAAGGGCCGGGCAAGACCGGUGCCAGCCGCCGCGGUAACACCGGCGGCCCGAGUGGUAAUCGUGAUUAUUGGGUCUAAAGGGUCCGUAGCCUGUUUGGUCAGUCCUCCGGGAAAUCUGACAGCUUAACUGUUAGGCUUUCGGCGGAUACUGCCAGACUUGGAACCGGGAGAGGUAAGAGGUACUACAGGGGUAGGAGUGAAAUCUUGUAAUCCCUGUGGGACCACCUGUGGCGAAGGCGUCUUACCAGAACGGGUUCGACGGUGAGGGACGAAAGCUGGGGGCACGAACCGG
rnacentral:rRNA from 1 species